rnacentral:rRNA from 1 species
UGCAGUCGAGCGGAUGAGAGGAGCUUGCUCUUCGAUUCAGCGGCGGACGGGUGAGUAAUGCCUAGGAAUCUGCCCAGUAGUGGGGGACAACGUUUCGAAAGGAACGCUAAUACCGCAUACGUCCUACGGGAGAAAGUGGGGGAUCUUCGGACCUCACGCUAUUGGAUGAGCCUAGGUCGGAUUAGCUAGUUGGUAGGGUAAAGGCCUACCAAGGCGACGAUCCGUAACUGGUCUGAGAGGAUGAUCAGUCACACUGGAACUGAGACACGGUCCAGACUCCUACGGGAGGCAGCAGUGGGGAAUAUUGGACAAUGGGCGAAAGCCUGAUCCAGCCAUGCCGCGUGUGUGAAGAAGGCCCUCGGGUCGUAAAGCACUUUAAGUUGGGAGGAAGGGCUUACAGCGAAUACCUGUGAGUUUUGACGUUACCAACAGAAUAAGCACCGGCUAACUUCGUGCCAGCAGCCGCGGUAAUACGAAGGGUGCAAGCGUUAAUCGGAAUUACUGGGCGUAAAGCGCGCGUAGGUGGCUUGAUAAGUUGGAUGUGAAAUCCCCGGGCUCAACCUGGGAACUGCAUCCAAAACUGUCUGGCUAGAGUGCGGUAGAGGGUAGUGGAAUUUCCAGUGUAGCGGUGAAAUGCGUAGAUAUUGGAAGGAACACCAGUGGCGAAGGCGACUACCUGGACUGACACUGACACUGAGGUGCGAAAGCGUGGGGGAGCAAACAGGAUUAGAUACCCUGGUAGUCCACGCCGUAAACGAUGUCAACUAGCCGUUGGGAUCCUUGAGAUCUUAGUGGCGCAGCUAACGCAUUAAGUUGACCGCCUGGGGAGUACGGCCGCAAGGUUAAAACUCAAAUGAAUUGACGGGGGCCCGCACAAGCGGUGGAGCAUGUGGUUUAAUUCGAAGCAACGCGAAGAACCUUACCUGGCCUUGACAUGCUGAGAACUUUCCAGAGAUGGAUUGGUGCCUUCGGGAACUCAGACACAGGUGCUGCAUGGCUGUCGUCAGCUCGUGUCGUGAGAUGUUGGGUUAAGUCCCGUAACGAGCGCAACCCUUGUCCUUAGUUACCAGCACGUUAUGGUGGGCACUCUAAGGAGACUGCCGGUGACAAACCGGAGGAAGGUGGGGAUGACGUCAAGUCAUCAUGGCCCUUACGGCCAGGGCUACACACGUGCUACAAUGGUCGGUACAAAGGGUUGCCAAGCCGCGAGGUGGAGCUAAUCCCAUAAAACCGAUCGUAGUCCGGAUCGCAGUCUGCAACUCGACUGCGUGAAGUCGGAAUCGCUAGUAAUCGUGAAUCAGAACGUCACGGUGAAUACGUUCCCGGGCCUUGUACACACCGCCCGUCACACCAUGGGAGUGGGUUGCUCCAGAAGUAGCUAGUCUAACCUUCGGGAGGACGGUAC